rnacentral:rRNA from 1 species
UAAAUACUAAUACCAGAUCGAUAGUGCACAAGUACCGUGAGGGAAAGGUGAAAAGAACUGAGGUGAUCAGAGUGAAAUAGAACCUGAAACCAUUUGCUUACAAUCAUUCAGAGCCCUAUGUAGCAAUACAGGGUGAUGGACUGCCUUUUGCAUAAUGAGCCUGCGAGUUGUGGUGUCUGGCAAGGUUAAGCAAACGCGAAGCCGUAGCGAAAGCGAGUCUGAAUAGGGCGCUUAGUCAGAUGCUGCAGACCCGAAACGAAGUGAUCUAUCCAUGAGCAAGUUGAAGCUAGUGUAAGAACUAGUGGAGGACUGAACCCAUAGGCGUUGAAAAGCCCCGGGAUGACUUGUGGAUAGGGGUGAAAGGCCAAUCAAACUUCGUGAUAGCUGGUUCUCUCCGAAAUAUAUUUAGGUAUAGCGUUGUGUCGUAAUAUAAGGGGGUAGAGCACUGAAUGGGCUAGGGCAUACACCAAUGUACCAAACCCUAUCAAACUCCGAAUACCUUAUAUGUAAUCACAGCAGUCAGGCGGCGAGUGAUAAAAUCCGUCGUCAAGAGGGAAACAACCCAGACUACCAGCUAAGGUCCCUAAAUCUUACUUAAGUGGAAAACGAUGUGAAGUUACUUAAACAACCAGGAGGUUGGCUUAGAAGCAGCCAUCCUUUAAAGAAAGCGUAAUAGCUCACUGGUCUAGUGAUUUUGCGCGGAAAAUAUAACGGGGCUAAAGUAAGUACCGAAGCUGUAGACUUAGUUUACUAAGUGGUAGGAGAGCGUUCUAUUUGCGUCGAAGGUAUACCGGUAAGGAGUGCUGGAGCGAAUAGAAGUGAGCAUGCAGGCAUGAGUAGCGAUAAUUAAUGUGAGAAUCAUUAACGCCGUAAACCCAAGGUUUCCUACGCGAUGCUCGUCAUCGUAGGGUUAGUCGGGUCCUAAGUCGAGUCCGAAAGGGGUAGACGAUGGCAAAUUGGUUAAUAUUCCAAUACCAACAUUAGUGUGCGAUGGAAGGACGCUUAGGGCUAAGGGGGCUAGCGGAUGGAAGUGCUAGUCUAAGGUCGUA